UAAGGGCAGUGCAAGACUUGGGCCGGCAGCAGGCUCAAGCGGCACCUAAUAAUGCAACGGCAAGUGCCAACGCCAUGAGCCCGAUUGUUGAGCAGUUUCAUCGUUUUUAACCUCCGUCCUUUGAUGGUAAAGGUGACCCUUUUGCAGCUGAGGAGUGGCUGAGAAGACUAGAAGGGAUCUUCGAGCACAUGAACUGCAACGAUGCUCAAAAGGUUUCUUGAGCAAAGUUCAUGUUAACUGACGAUGCUGGGCAUUGGUAGGAUUCUAAAACAUGUACUAGAACUACAAAACAACAACGUAAUCUUACAUGGAACCAAUUCAAAGAGUCGUUGAUGGGUAAAUAUUUUCCCCAGCCAUUAAGGGAUAAAAAAGAAGUAGAAUUUCUCCAGCUUAUGCAAGGAAAUUUGCCACUUGGGGAGUAUGAAAGAAAAUUUGAAUAGCUUUCCAGAUACGCUCCACACAUGGUAAACACUGAGCUGAGAAGGCUAAAAGGUUUGAAAUGGGAUUAAGACCAGAGAUUAAGGGAAUCAUAGCAGCCCAACAAUAUACUACUUAUGCAGAGGUUGUACGUAGAGCACAAGGAAUCUCUAAUGGUUUAGGACUGGAAAAGAAAACCACACCCAGUACCGAGUCUUCUAUAAAGAGAAAGUGGCAAGGUCAUGAUAAGGAGAAAGGUAGGAAUCAGAAUAGAACAGGAAAGAUUUGGCCAGACUCAAACAAAACUUUUCCUCAAUGCACCAACUGCAACAAAUGACACUUGGGUGAAUGUCUUCAGGGAAAGGAAGAAUGCUACAAUUGUGGUAAGAGUGGUCAUUUCCUUAGAGAAUGUCAAGAGAAGAAGAGAGAAGGUGACCAAGUUAAGAUGGGAAAGGCCAGAGUAUUUUCUUUGAUAGGGGAAAAGGACGAUCAAAAUACAGACGUAAUAACAGGUAUGUUACCAGUAUCUGAUGCUCCUGCUAUUGUCCUUAUGGAUUCUAUAUGUAACGCCCCGAAUUCUAGCAACCCGGAAUGUUACGAAACAUGAAUUUUAUUAAAGUACUUGAAGC
rnacentral:lncRNA from 1 species